GUCAAGUUCUGUGCUCAAGUUCACAGAUCUCCUAAGAUAAGGAACUCUUUUCCUUCCAACUCCAAAGAGCCCUUUCCUUACACCAUGUGGUUUGCAUAUCCCAUGUGAUCCUAUGAGCAGCUCUUCUGGAUGGUCUAAUAAGCAAAUAAACAUGAGACAGAGUAAGAGAAGGAAAGGACCGAUGUGAGUGCGUAUGUACACAUGGGGCUCCAUAGGAAUGGAGGACAGAGAGGCAAAUGGAGCGGUUGAGGCCUAUCUGCCACCUGGAGGUGGAAAGCAGCAAAUUCAAUAGUGUGGACGUACUAUAGCGAUAGUAGUUCUUAGAAACACAAUUCAAUUGUUAACCGUCCCCUGAAGCUCUGAGCAAGAACU